AGUUGAUUGUAUGUCAGUUUUUCAUUUGGCCUGGCUAGCUUACUCCUUUUUAAAUAUUGCUAGCUGCCUUGUGAAGGGCUUACGUGUAAUUGCAGUUC
ensembl:ncRNA mir-980 mir-980 stem loop